rnacentral:rRNA from 1 species
GGGGGGGCCGGGGGCCCGGUUUUUAGAGUUUUUGAAACAGCUCAGGACGAACGCUGGCGGCGUGCUUAACACAUGCAAGUCGAGCGGUAAGGCCCUUCGGGGUACACGAGCGGCGAACGGGUGAGUAACACGUGAGCAACCUGCCCCUGACUCCGGGAUAAGCGGUGGAAACGCCGUCUAAUACCGGAUACGACCCGCCACCUCAUGGUGGAGGGUGGAAAGUUUUUCGGUCAGGGAUGGGCUCGCGGCCUAUCAGCUUGUUGGUGGGGUAACGGCCUACCAAGGCGAUUACGGGUAGCCGGCCUGAGAGGGCGACCGGCCACACUGGGACUGAGACACGGCCCAGACUCCUGCGGGAGGCAGCAGUGGGGAAUAUUGCGCAAUGGGCGAAAGCCUGACGCAGCGACGCCGCGUGGGGGAUGACGGCCUUCGGGUUGUAAACCUCUUUUACCACCAACGCAGGCUCGAAGUUCUCUUCGGGUUGACGGUAGGUGGGGAAUAAGGACCGGCUAACUACGUGCCAGCAGCCGCGGUAAUACGUAGGGUCCGAGCGUUGUCCGGAAUUAUUGGGCGUAAAGAGCUCGUAGGCGGCGUGUCGCGUCUGCUGUGAAAGACCGGGGCUUAACUCCGGUUCUGCAGUGGAUACGGGCAUGCUAGAGGUAGGUAGGGGAGACUGGAAUUCCUGGUGUAGCGGUGAAAUGCGCAGAUAUCAGGAGGAACACCGGUGGCGAAGGCGGGUCUCUGGGCCUUACCUGACGCUGAGGAGCGAAAGCAUGGGGAGCGAACAGGAUUAGAUACCCUGGUAGUCCAUGCCGUAAACGUUGGGCGCUAGGUGUGGGGACUUUCCACGGUUUCCGCGCCGUAGCUAACGCAUUAAGCGCCCCGCUGGGAGACCCCACGGU